rnacentral:lncRNA from 1 species
UCUUGAAAGGGAGAAAACCGACGAGGGAUUGUAAACACUGAAGGAGAGAGUGACACAAUAAUCAGUCGUCCCUCGUUUCCUUGGCGACUUUGAAACACGGUUUUUCGUAUCAAAAUAACUUCGAUAGCAUUCAUAUUGAUGAAACCAUUAAGUUGCACAGUUGUGCCAAAACUAACUUUUAUUGUUUAUUGAAAUUCACCAUAUCUUCCAAGCAUGGCGUUCUGGCACCUCGUUUAAUUCCUUAGGAUGCGCAGCAGCAUUUACCCUCUUCACAAUAGCUGUUGUCGAAACUGUAGCCAGACCAUUCACAUGAAACCUUACACAAGGUAACAUUGUAUCCUAUCGGGUUCUCGCAUAACCGGUCAUGUUUGCACACAUCAAUCAAUGCAGUUGUACCUACGCCCAAAGAAGUCCCAUUUCGGAUUAGUAAUCUAGUAUAAAUUACACAUGUUACUCAAGAAUGUCUCAAAACCUAAAGUCUAUGUAUAUUAGUACAAAAUUUGUCUGGUCUAAACAAAUGAGUGUACCUUUGUUUCUCCCAGUUGCCUCGCAUGGCAACAAAGUGGUAGACAUCAUAAGAAUUACCAAACACAGGGCAUUUGUGUUUUUCUUGGUAAGUGCCAUCAGAAGUGUGGGUACUAUUUUUUUCCUUCCUUGCAAGAUAUUCCUUGAGGUUGAUAUUGCUCGUUCUAUUUGAGUCCUUAUUGUGGUAUUAUAUAGAGGCACUAUCACAUCUCGGAGCAUCUUCAUUUCAGGAAGAAAAUAAUGGAGAAUCCAAUGUUAGUGUUGUCAUCCUUUGUACUCCCUCCUUCCAUCUAUAUAGGGCCUAAUGCGUUUUUAAGACCUCCUUUGACUAUUGACAAGAUUAAUAGUACAUGACAUGCACAAUGUGAAAAUUAUAUCAUUGAAAGCUCCCUCCGCACACGAAUUUAAAGAUAUGCUUUGUGUAAGUUGCAUGUCAUAUAUUAUUGAUGUAAUAUUUGGUCAAAGUUAGCCUCGAAAAACGCAUUAGGCCUUAUAUAGAUGGAAGGAGGGAGUAUGUAUAUGCAUAGUCCACUCAUAUCAAUUAGUACUAUUAUAAGAGUUAUUGGAAUAUACCCAAAUAUAUCAUGUCAACAACCGGUUAUUUAUUGUCUUCUUGUUCUUUAUAUACCAAGACAUUAAUACUAUCAUAAGAGUUAUUGGAAUAUACAUGCCAAAAUAUAGGUUGUCGACAGCUGGUUGUUAAAUGCCUCUUUGUUUUUGGUAUAUACCAAGACAUUAAUACUAGGAACUCAUUAGUUGGGGGACAUUAACUGGGGUUUGGAGUUGGCUCGAUCGAAAGAACCAAUUCCCCAACGACUUUUGCGAGUGUGGCACCAGGCCCAAAAAAGUGGCGAACUACAACCCAUUCACCACCAGUGUAAAAUCAGUGUUUGCCUGGAAAAAAACUAAAAAUUCACAAAUUUGCAUAUUAAUUAAAAAAGUGUUGGCCAAAAAAUAAUAGUGUUGGCCCAUUAACAAAUUUACAUGCUUUAUAUUUUUAUUUUCAAAAAACAAAUAGGAAUACCACUCAAAGUUCCAUGACCGCAAAUAAAAAAUUGUCAUGCUCUUAAUAACAAAAUGAAUUUGGAAAUUCAUAAAAAAUGAAAAUCGAGUAAAAAUGGAUUUCAAAAAUCAUAGAAUUGCAAAAAGUUUACAGAUAUGGAAUAUUUUUAUUUAUAAAAAAACCACAAAUUUGCGAAAACUACAUCGACUUUGAUAAAUAAGUUCAUUUAUAUAGAGGCACUAUCACAUCUCGGAGCAUCUUCAUUUCAGGAAGAAAAUAAUGGAGAAUCCAAUGUUAGUGUUAUCAUCCUUUUCAGCUAUAUGCAUAGUCAACUCAUGUCAAUUAAUACUAUUAUAAGAGUUAUUGGAAUAUAUUCGAAUAUAUCCUAUCAACAACUGGUUAUUAAAUGCCUCCUUGUUCUCUAUAUACCAAGACAUAAAGACUAUCAUAAGAGUUACUGGAAUAUACAUACCAAAAUAUAGGUUGUCGACAACUGGUUAUUAAAUGUCGCUUUGUUUUUGUAUAUACCAAGACAUUAAUACUAGGACCCCAUUAGUUGGGGGACAUUAGCUGUGGGUUGCUUCGAGCGAAAUCGCUGGAGUUAGCUCGAUCAAAAGAACCAAUUCACCAGCGACUUUUGCGAGUGUGGCUCCAGGCUUAAAAAAGUGGCCAACUACAACCCACUCACCACCAUGUAAAAAUCAGUGUUAGCCUGGAAAAAACUGAAAAUAAACAAGUUUGCAUAUUAAUUAAAAAAGUAUUGGCCCAAAAAUAAUAGUGUUGGCCCAUUCACAAAUUUGACAUGUUUUAUAUUUGUUUCAAAAACAAAUAGGAAUAACACUGGAAGUGGCCAUGACCGAAAACAAAAAGUUUCCACAGUAUUAAUAAUAAAAUGAAUUGGGAAAAAUUCAUAAAAACGAAAAUCAAAUAAAAGUGGAUUGGGAAAACAAAUCAUAGAUUUGCAAAAAAGUUCACAAAUAUGGAAAAAGUUUAAUGUUUUGAAAAAACAUGGAUUUUGAAUAAAAAACACAAAUUUGAGAAAACUACACGGACUUUGAUAAAUAUGUUCAUGAAUUUGGAUAAAGGUUCAAACAGUUGAAAAAAUGCAAGCAUUUGAAAAAGUUCAUGGAUUUGGAAAAAAAAGUCAUGGAUUUAAAAAAAUAAAGGGUUUUGGAAAAAGGUUCAUGAAUUUGGAAACAAACGAAUUUGAAUAUUUUGUUUGUGAUUUUGAAAAUAGUUUUCUCAUUGGAAAAAAGGGAAAAAAGAAAAGAAAAACCGAAUGAAAACCGGUCUAAAAGGAUUUAAAAAAAAGGAAACCCUCCCGGACGCAUCUAAAAGCUUCCUAAAACUGGGGAAGGGGAGUGUCCCGCUCGGGCCUUACAUGCGUUGGCCCACUAUAUCAAACAAAGGGAGGGAGUAUGUGCGUUGUAACAGUAGCACUAUAAACAGCACUGCAAGCGGCAAAUAGGAAUUAUGCAACCACAUAGACGAUUACCACAAAGGCCCUCCUACUAUAAUUAGCGCAGAACAUCUAAUGGGCCUGGUCCAUCGCAUGUGGCGGCAAUGCUACUAAUGGCACUGCCCAAGUAGCUUCAUGCAGGUUAAUUCUUUUUUUUUUGCCUUUUUAUUCUUUGUCAUUUUUUCAUACUUUUGAAAAUAUUUAAAAUACAUAUAUUUUUCCAACACGACAAAAUUUAUAAAAAAUUACGUGGUUUAUAAAAAUUGUUAGUGUAAUUUUAAAAAAUUGUUGAUAGCAUUCACAAAAAAUAUUUGUGAGAUUUAAAAAAUGUUCACAUCUUUACAAAAUGUACUCCCUCUGAUCCAAAUUAAACAACACAGCCGCUACACUAUAAAAAUUACAUUGUAUAAAGGUAUACAAUUACAUUGUAUAGAGGCUGCAUCAUGUAAUUUGGAUAGGAGGGUGUACGUAAUAUUUUUUAAAAAAAAUAUGCUUAUAAAAUGUAGAAAAAUGUACACAUGAUUAAAAAAAUCAUACCAUUCAAAACAAUUGUACAUGUCAUUUCAAACAAAUGUUCCCUUGUUUCAAGAAAGUUUAUGUGAUAUUCCAUUUUUAAUGUUUAUACAAUGCAAAAUAAAUAUUUGAGUAGUAUAAAGAAAUGUUAAGUACCAUUGAAAAAAGUUUACCUGACAUUUGAAAGAAAUAUGCAUGCCUUUGAAAAAAAUAUUAAUGUCAUUUAAGUAAAAAAUGUGUAUACAAGGUAAAAAAAAUGUACGCGUAGUUUCAAAAAAUGUUCAACAGGUAGGUGGAAAUAUCAAGUAUUUGAAAAAAACGUACAUUGUGCGUUUGAAAAAUGUGAAAUGUGUAUAAUAAAAUGUUCGACAUGUAUACUAAAAAUAUGCAUUGUGUAUUGGAAAUAAGUAGACAUGCGUUGAAAUAAAAACACGAAAAGUAGGGGAAAAAGAAAAAAAAACUGAAGAAACCCGGUGGUGAAACGAAGAAAAGUAGAAAAACUUGAUAUUAAAAUGGUGAUUAUUCAAAUUUGAAGUUGCCAGAGUUUGACAAAACACCACAAUAUUAAUAUUUGAGUUUAUUCUAAAACUGAAGUCCCUUAAAGCAUAUACGGGUCAGUAGUAGAACUUGUGAUAUUGGAAUUUCUCUAUAGUACAUCUAGCAGGGGUGGUGAUUAACAAGUGCAUACUUUAAUUAGAUUGGUUGACACCUAACUAAGUUGUUUAGUUUAUUAGAGUUCAUUUUAAUUUGAGAUGGAAGAAUGCUAAUUAUUUUAUGUCGUCAGCCCACUUGUUUAGUCCACCUGGCUAAGUUGUUUAGUUGAUGCCCCCAAAGUAGUAACAUCUUUGUUUGUGUUUUGCGGAAUCCGAUAUGUGAACAUAUCAUGUGAUAUGCUUUUAUUAUAUAGAUGAUGACAUUCUUACUGCAUUUUGGCUAGCUCAAGGGCGAUGUAUCGCAUGGCCAUAGAAGCAUGGAACUUUUUGUCCUUAUGAUUAAAUUUACCAAUGACUAUCAUUGUUGAUUGCUUCAAAAUCUUUCCUUCCAUGUAUGUAGUUGGAAGUGGACAAGUCCACGACAAAAGCAGGAACGCGUCCACAAGCUAGUUGAGGAGGUAAUAUACAUGUUUCUCUUCGCUAUUCGCUGAGGAGGUCUAAGUGGGUCAUUCUUUUUCUUGAUUGAGGUCUAUUUUUGCAUCUACUGCUCUACUUUCUCCAUAGAUGAUGCUUUCGACUAUUUGCUUCCUCACUCUCACCACGAUAGCAAAUCAAAUAGAAAAGAAUGUCGCUGGUUGUGGUUAUCGAUAUAGGGGGUGUUUGGUUUAAUGACGAUGCUGGAUUGGCUGAGGGUAUCCUUGUCCACCUGCUUAGGGAUAGCCAACUUUUGUUGUUUGGUUGAGAGGAUAAAUGGUGAUUGGGGAUAGCCACUUUAAUGUUUGGUUGGAAGGAUAUAACAAGUGGAUGGAUUGUUAUGAUUAAGUCUCAAGUGAGAAUAGCCCAAUAUAUGCACACGAAAUUAAAGGAAAUUUAGUUUGAAUGCAUGGCCAUGCAAAUAUAUAUGCAUCUAUGUUAAACAUAAAACCACUAUGUACAAAUUUUAUGUUCCUAAUAGUUUAAAACUAGGCAGACUAGUAGAACGCCCAUGCGUUACUACGGGCUAGAGUGCUUAUAAAUGAAUAAAACAAAUUAUUAAGGUCAUAUCCAAGGAUUAACACUAAUUUUAUUUAAUUGGGGCAGACAUAUUCUAAUGGUUUAAGAAAAAUAUUAUUUAACAUACAUCGGUAUAUUUUCUUCGUAAGGCAAAGGAAAAUCUUCUAAAAUAAUGUCAAACACUAUACAAAAAGGCUAAGGACAUAGGGCAUGUGAUUGACCAUUGCCUCUUCUUGCAAAUUUUAUUGAUUAUUAAACAGGUAAUAGCUUGACAUCUAACAAGUGAAUUUCUACAUAUACAAAAUUUAAUUAAAAUCUGGUGCUUAAAGGUCUAUUUGCACGUUUACCAAGUGAGAUGUACAAGGCAAACCUUGUGUCUUUGGGAUCACAGUAUUUUUCACGAUGUCCUGAGUUGGGUGCAGAUAAUAUCAACUAGAACAUCAUGAAUUAUCAGCUUGUCGACAUAAAUGUCAUCUACUAAUUGCUUGUCAUGUACUAUACGUGUACACAAAAGUGAAAUUUAAUUAACACUCAUGGAUUGGUGUUUAUUCUAGGAAUAUAUGAACACAUAUCAAACAGAAACCAAUGAAGCACCAAUUGUUUGCCAGAACCAGGAAUACAUAUGGAUCCGAAAUAUAACAAUACUUCCGGUCGGUCAUCACCACGAAAAACUUCAUCCAAAGUACAAGAAACAUACCCACAGGAACAGAAAUAGUGGUGAUGCUUGCCUAAAUCAACACUAGAUCCUAAACAUGCUCGAAAACAAUGAAAAGAAUAACACUUUUGCCAACAUCUCGAGCUUUGUACUAAGGAGUGAUGUUGCGUAAAUUCGCUCCACCAACACCAAUUGCUUUCAAGAUCACAUUUUGAAGAAUUGGAGAUUCACAUCAAGAAUUGCAUUGAUUCUCUCCCCACCUGUUGUUGGCACCUGGGUAUUGUAAAGAGUGAAAACGCUUCAUCCUUAUUAUUUGGGAUGAAUGGAAACACACUAAGGAUACAUAAUUUUAUCCAAAUAGUUCGAAGCCAGCAAGAAUAUUUAGGACUAAUCUUACAAGAAUAUGUUGCGCUAAUCUAUCACUAGCAAUGUUAUAGUGGAGCCUAAAAUUUAUAAGUAGAAAAUCAUGGACUUUUUUAUUUAGACACUAAUCAAUAGUAUCACCGGAAUUCUAAUCCUAAUCUUCUCCAUUGUUUGCACAUCAUCUUCCUCGGCUAUGAGGACACCUCACUUUUGAUGGGCCAUUCAAAACAGUCCACUCUGUACCAAACUUCACUUUACCGCCCUUCAUAACCUAUACUAACAUGUUAUAAUGGCAUAAUAAACAUACUUACAUUCUUAACUGUAUAAUUGAAAAGAAAUCAUGAACUAUAGGAAAAAGAAUGAUGAACCAAGCAUUACAAAUUAGACAAACCAUGUGACAUUCAUUGGCAUGCAUGCUGGUACCUUAGGACAUCCUAUAGGUAUAAUCAUGUCACUUCUAGGGAUAAGCCUAGUAGGACAUACCCGCGCUACUACUAAUUACGUUAGCAGCAGUGCGCGUGGGGUCUGACUAGCGCUACUGCUAACUAGGUGUAGCGAGGGCUUGAACCCCGCACCACUACUAACUCUAUGUAUUUCAUUUCCGCAUAUUUAUAUUGUACUUAUGCAACAAUUACACAGAUUUUUAUAUAGUUCAAUAUACACAUACAUCGUUGAUACAACAAUGUCUCAUGAUCAACAUAGUGAUAAAAGAAUGUCUCAUCAUCAUCAUAAUGAUAUAAAAUUGUCUCAUCAUCAUCAUAGUGAUAUAACAAUUGAUCAUCAUCAUAAUGAUAUGACAAUGUCUCAUCAUCAUCAUCAUCAUCAUCAUAAGUUAACCACUAGCUAAUUGUUAUCAUCCUAGGUAAAUAACUUCCGAGCACAUGAAAAGUGCUAGGACCUACUCCUCUCUCUUAGGGAUAAUAGAAUAAAACAGAAAAACUUCUCCAUCUCCAUGAUGCAGCAUAGAGAUCCACCGGUCUCCAAUUUGUGGCAUGCGCUCAUUCACAAGUUGCCUCCAUGCAUCGAUUUUGAGGCAUCCAUUUGGUUGAUGUUCAGUCGAGUAUGUAUAUUUGAAACUGGUAUUCAAAGGGAAAACAAUAGUCAUCUCCCCUUCGACGUCCAUCAGUGGAGGCACGCCAACAUUUGGGAGCCUCUGUUGAAGAACAUAAUAGUAUUAUAGUUAGCAACGUACUUUACUUAAGAAGAAUGUAUGAAAAAGAUAGAAAAGAGAGGGCGUUUUUGGCACCUAGGAGCAUACGCUCCUAGUUUUUAAAAUGUGCUCUAAACGUAUUUUGAAUGUCACAAAAUUCCUAAAAAAAAUAUUUUGUGCCUACAUCUUGACAUUCUACAUACUCACAAAGUCGUUUCGCGAAAAAUCGAUAACUUUUUGUCACGUGUGAAAAAUACAAAAUUCAGUGUUAGAAAGGGGUUUUCAUGAGACAUUUCUUUGUCUUUUUUACAUAAGCCACAGAAAAUGCCGGUUUUCCACAAAACUUGGCGUGCACACAUAGAAUAUCGAGAUGUUCGCAUAAAAUUUUUGUUCGGAAUUUUCUGACAUUUUGAAAUGUUUUUCCAAUGGUAGGAGCAUAUGCUCCCAUGUGCCAAAGUGAAUUUCCAGAAAAAGAUGGACUAGUGACACAAUAGUAAAAAAAUUCUUACCAUGAUAUUUCUAUGAAUAUUAGAGUCACUCCACUUAUGGACUAGUGCACUUAUAUUGUAGAAUGUCGGCCAGCUCCAUAGAUGCUCUUAAAAGACAGAACGUCAUUAACAAAGGAGACAAAAGAAUUCUUGUCCUCUCAAAUUAGCUGCCAGCAGUGUAAUAGGUCUUGUCUACUAUCUUCCGUGUAUUACUUGAAGAUAGGAAAUAAGUUGUCAAUUAUAACUAAAUAAGUUAAGUAGGUGAUACAACUAUUAUGAAAAAUAUAUAUAUAUAGUACAUUUCAAAAUGUUAAAAAAAUCCGAAAAAUAAUAUCACGUGUACAUUCGUAUAUUCUAUGUGCGCAAACAAAAUUUCGCGAAGAAAGAACAUUUUUUGUGGCAUGUAUAAAAAAGAUUAAAAAAAUGUCUCCUGAAUAUUUAUAAUCAAGUAUGAAAAAUUGUCUUUUUUACACAAGGCACAAAAAUUCCUUUCUCACCGAAACUUUGUGCACAAACAUAUAAUGUCCAGAUGUACAAGCGGGAUUUUUUCUGGAUUUUUUUUACUUUAAAAAAAUGUGUAUUUAGACAAUUGGUACAUCUACACCUAUGAGCGAAAGUGAAUUUAUCGAAUAACAACUAUUUUUAAAUAAGACAGAUAAUUUAACAAAUUUGUUUAACAAACUCAUACGGUGGUAGAAUUGGAAUCAUAUCCAGAUCCACCCAAACAUCUUUAUCAUGUUGAGGACUAGUGACUGGGAAUAGAUAAGGUACACAAUCACGCAUAUUAAUAUUUAUGAUGGAGAAUCACAGCCGAUAUGAAGGAUUGUAUCAGGCACGUUUCUGUUCUUGUUAAGCUGAAAUUGAAGCAACCCUUAGGCAACCAAUCAUCAAAUUAUUUUCAGAUGCACAAUAGAGUAGAGUAGAGCAAGACAUCAGAAAAACAAACAGAUGACAUGCCCUGCAGGAGGUUCCAUGGGAGCAUAUUAUCAAGAAGGAAAAGACGAGAGCAAAACAAAAGGGAGGUUCCAUGCCCCGCGGACCAGCUUCAGUGUACUGCAUUUAUUCCUAGAGCUAUUAUCAAGUUUUUUUUACUGAUUUGUAGUUUCAUGUAUAUGACCUUUCAAAACAGAGGGGAAAAAAGGUUAUCCAGUUCUCAAGGAGAUAACAUGUAAAUUAAAGUAUACAUUGUUUUAAGUAGAUUGUCUUUAUUCUCACGUAGAUAUUUGAGGUAUGGAUAUGAUGAGGUUCUACAUUUAUAUCUGAUUUUCAUUGAUUAGUAAAUAGGGACGGGGUAACAUGCUUUUGCUUUGUUAAAGCAUUUUUGUAUGAAGAUUUCGUUUGGCAACGCACGGGCAUUUAGCUAGUCUUACUACAUUGUACACGUGCAUGCAAGCAGGGAUUCAGCGAGGGUAAACCGUUCUAGCAGAUUAAUUCCGCCAUGAAAUUCAUUCUUCAUACACCUGGCAAGUCCGCAUGGUUUGGCUGAUGGCCAAGUACCCACGUGUUCGCGACGAGUCACAUGUGGUCCACCGGCCAGCCAUGGCCGAGCUAUUUGAUGAUCUCAAAUGCUCUCCGCGAGUAAAGCAAUUAAGUGAUUAUGGCAUUGGCCUUGGAACGGGAGUUAGCUCGUCGCCAGCGAAGAAGCGCUUGAAGAUCUUCCAGGCUUGCACCCACGUGAUCAAUGAAGACACUAUUCAAGUUAUUUUAAUAUGAAACGGUUUUGCCUAUUCAACUUAUUUCGAUAUGAGAACGGUUUUGCUAAUUCAUGUUAUCUCAUAUUAAAAACGGUUUUGCAAAUUCAGAGUCGUCGGUGUAGCUGCGCUUGGCAAAGGGGGUCUUGGAUCUUGAGAGGGAGAAAACCGAUUUUGGUAAGAGGGAUUGUAAACACAAAAGGAGAGUGACUCAGUAAUUAGUCGCCCCCAAUCUCCUUGGCAACUUUGGAAAACAAUAUAUAUCAAAAUAUCUUGAAUAGCAUCCAUAUUGAUGAAAUCAUGAAAUUGCACAGUCGUGCCAAAACUAACUUUUAUUGUUUAUUGGAAUUCAUCAUAUCUUACAAGCAUGGCAUUUUGGCACCUCGUCAAUUCCUUAGGAUGCACAACAGCAUUUACCCUCCUCACAAUAGCUGUUGUAGAAACUGUAGCCAGACCAUUCGCAUGAAACCUUACACAAGGUAACAUUGUAUCCUAUCGGAUUCUCGCAUAACCGAUCACGUUUGCACACAUCAAUCAAUGCAGUUGUACCUACGAUCAAAGAAGUAUUGCAUCCCAUUU